GAUCCUCCCAAAUCUGGCUGUCACCCCUCAUCGCUCCACAGAAACAGCCCUAAGGACAUCAGGACAACAGAUGGAGAAGGCAAACUAAUUUUGGAAGGGCUACUCGACCAAGAAUGCCAACGAUAACAUCUCAGAAUUACGGAAUGAGAUCUGGUGGACUGGUCUUGAAUGAAGAUCUGGUAUAAUUGCUGCACUACAACCUACAUUUAGAUCAAAAACUUCCAAUGCUCUAUUAGUGCCAGCUCCCAGUACAAUGUCUGAAAUGUCCACAAGUUAAGAUUAGCUAACAGAAACAUCUUAAGGGAAGAAUUUCAAGGAUUUAACAAAUGAUGUUCCCACCCCUUUCAUUAGUUUUAACUGGCUUCAACUGAAAUAAAUGAUAUUUUUCAGUCA